rnacentral:rRNA from 1 species
CAUGUCUCAGUACUUGCUUUUACAAGGCGAAACCGCGAAUGGCUCAUUAAAUCAGUUAUGGUUCACUAGAUCGUAAAUUUUACACGGAUAACUGUGGUAAUUCUAGAGCUAAUACGUGCAACCAGCUCGCUUCCUUGUGGAGCGAGCGCAGUUAUUAGAACAAGACCAAUCCGGCCUUCGGGUCGGUACAUUUGGUGACUCUGAAUAACCGAAGCGGAGCGCAUGGUCUCGUACCGGCGCCAGAUCUUUCAAGUGUCUGACUUAUCAGCUUGUUGUUAGGUUAUGUUCCUAACAAGGCUUCAACGGGUAACGGGGUAUCAGGGUCCGAUACCGGAGAGGGAGCCUGAGAAACGGCUACCACAUCCAAGGAAGGCAGCAGGCGCGCAAAUUACCCACUCCUAGCACAGGGAGGUAGUGACGAAAAAUAACGAUGCGGGGUCUUAUAGAUUCCCGUAAUCGGAAUGGGUACACUUUAAAUCCUUUAACGAGGAUCUAUUGGAGGGCAAGUCUGGUGCCAGCAGCCGCGGUAAUUCCAGCUCCAAUAGCGUAUAUUAAAGUUGCUGCGGUUAAAAAGCUCGUAGUUGGAUCUGGGCUUCUGAAUGGAUGGUGCGCUUUUCGGUGCUACUGUCCGUUUGGUGCCACAAGUCGGCCAUGUAGUGCAUGCCCUUCAUUGGGUGUGCAUUGCGACCGAAACGUUUACUUUGAAAAAAUUAGAGUGCUCAAAGCAGGCGUACGGCCUUGCAUAAUGGUGCAUGGAAUAAUGGAAUAGGACCUCGGUUCUAUUUUGUUGGUUUUCGGAACUCGAGGUAAUGAUUAAUAGGAACAGACGGGGGCAUUCGUAUUGCGGCGUUAGAGGUGAAAUUCUUGGAUCGUCGCAAGACGA